UUGAACUUGAAACACUGCAGUGAGCUGCACGCAGGCGCAGUGCAGUCGGAAAGGCUCCAUCUAAAACUGCGUAGGCGAUUCCUGUGAGCUGGCAGGGUUGUUUUAGUGGAGAAAUGAAAAAUAAAACAAAAUAGUAAACUUUUGAAAAGGUUCUUUUUAAAUUAGACGGUGCGGGCUUCAUUACGUUAAAAGAUAACCGAAAUUUGAAGAAACUCAAAGUUGAAGAGGAUUAAUUCUCCGAGAAAGGUGCUCUAUCUGCUUGGAAGCUCUGUAGUCCUCUGACAAGUCUAGAGGUUAUUCUUGGAAAUUCAGCUUCACUAUGGAGCAUUGUAAUUGAAGUUGAUUGGCCUCCUAAAUCAAAAU